GUGGGGAAUCUUGCGCAAUGGGCGAAAGCCUGACGCAGCCAUGCCGCGUGAAUGAUGAAGGUCUUAGGAUUGUAAAAUUCUUUCACCGGGGACGAUAAUGACGGUACCCGGAGAAGAAGCCCCGGCUAACUUCGUGCCAGCAGCCGCGGUAAUACGAAGGGGGCUAGCGUUGCUCGGAAUUACUGGGCGUAAAGGGCGCGUAGGCGGACAGUUUAGUCAGAGGUGAAAGCCCAGGGCUCAACCUUGGAAUUGCCUUUGAUACUGGCUGUCUUGAGUACGGGAGAGGUGAGUGGAACUCCGAGUGUAGAGGUGAAAUUCGUAGAUAUUCGGAAGAACACCAGUGGCGAAGGCGACUCACUGGCCCGUUACUGACGCUGUGGCGCGAAAGCGUGGGGAGCAAACAGGAUUAGAAACCCUAGUAGUCC
rnacentral:rRNA from 1 species